rnacentral:snoRNA from 1 species
AGGCUUAUGAUGAUAACAUAAAUUAUCUUAGCGGAUUUCAGUGAGAUAAAUUUAUUUAUCAAUGAUCUGAUUGUUACACACACUGAAGCCU